rnacentral:lncRNA from 1 species
CAGACCAUCCAUUCUCUCCUUUGCUGGCCUUGAUGAAAUAAUCUACCAUAGAGACCUCUGUGGCAAAGAACUAGGAGCCGACUCCAGCUAAGAGCAGCAGGGAAGUAAGGCCUGUAUUCUGAUAACCCACAAGGAACUGAAUCCUGCUGACAACCAUGUCCAACUCAGAGGCUUCACCCCACAAUGAACCACAUUUCUUCAGCACUCUCAUAGCAUUGGCUUCAUCACAAUCUGCCUCAUCUCAGAAUAACAGGUGCUUGCAAGUCACUACACUGACCAGUUGGGGUUUGAAUUUAUGAUCCUCCUGCCUCUGUCUCUCAGAGUGCUGCGAUUACAGAGACAGUAGAGGCCAGAUGACUGGAGUGAGCAAAUGACAAAAGAAACUUCACCUAUGGCCAGCCGAAGUCAGAAGACCCGGGCCAUCUGGUCUGCUCUUGUUUUGGGGUUGCCACGGAAGCCCUCUUGCAGAAUUGCUCUGUGAGUGGCAAGAAGUGUCACUAAAAAAUAGAAAAUAAAGGCUGCAGAUUGUCAUGUUUGUAAAAAGCAAUCAUGUUAGCACAAGUCUUUGCCUGUUCUGUCGCCUCCCC